GGUAGUGCGGUUGAAUUAAUCGCGAGCAGCCUCGGUAUGUCUGUGCCAACGGCUUGCACGCGAUUCAGUGACAACUACGACCUGAAGGAGGAACUCGGCAAAGGUGCCUUCUCCGUGGUUCGACGAUGUGUGCAAAAAAGCACCGGUCACGAGUUUGCUGCAAAAAUUAUAAACACCAAAAAACUCUCAAAUAGAGAUUUCCAAAAACUCGAGCGUGAGGCGCGGAUAUGUAGAAAACUACAACAUCCAAAUAUUGUGAGAUUACAUGACAGUAUACAAGAGGAGAAUUUCCAUUAUCUUGUCUUUGAUCUAGUCACCGGCGGAGAACUGUUCGAGGACAUCGUCGCCCGGGAAUUCUACAGCGAGGCGGACGCCUCGCACUGUAUUCAACAAAUCCUGGAAAGCGUUCACCACUGCCACCAUAACGGAGUUGUGCACCGGGAUCUGAAACCCGAAAAUUUACUCCUCGCGAGCAAGGCGAAAGGGGCGGCUGUGAAAUUAGCAGAUUUUGGUCUAGCGAUCGAGGUGCAGGGUGAAGCGCAGGCAUGGUAUGGUUUCGCUGGAACGCCCGGCUACCUCAGCCCGGAGGUGCUGAAGAAGGAGCCAUACGGAAAACCAGUCGACAUAUGGGCGUGCGGUGUCAUACUGUACAUCCUUCUGGUCGGUUAUCCACCCUUUUGGGACGAGGAUCAGCAUCGGCUCUAUGGACAGAUCAAGGCCGGAUCGUACGAUUAUCCGAGUCCAGAAUGGGACACCGUCACGCCGGAAGCCAAGAACCUUAUCAAUCAGAUGCUGACGGUGAAUCCAGGAAAGAGGAUCACUGCCAGCGAGGCACUGAAGCAUCCAUGGAUCUGCCAACGUGAGCGUGUUGCAUCCGUGGUGCAUAGACAAGAGACCGUGGAUUGCUUGAAGAAAUUCAAUGCAAGGCGCAAGUUAAAGGGCGCUAUAUUGACGACCAUGCUGGCGACGCGGAACUUUUCCAGUAAGUAUGAUGCACAGGGUCGAAGCAUUAUCACGAAGAAGGGUGAUGGCUCUCAAGUGAAGGAAUCCACCGACAGCAGCACAACGAUCGAAGACGAUGAUGUUAAAGAGGAUAAGAAGGGCGGCGUCGACCGGAGCAGCACGGUCAUUGCCAAAGAACCCGAAGGUACACCUCCGAGCAGCCCCGCGACAAUGUCCGCGUUCUCCAGGAUGGUCGGCGCGGCCACAACCAUGGCGAACAAACAGGCCCCGAAUCAGAACCAGACCCAGAUUCAGGCCCAGGUCCAAGCCCAGAUUCAGAAUACGGGCAACCCCCUCGGAAUUGCCGCGGUUCUUCUUCAAGGGGCCCAAGGUAAAUUCAGGAUUUUAAUUCGAUGUUGAAAUGAAAUGCAGGGUAAACUGGGUCUUCAUGUCUUACUUUUUAAUUCUUUGCGGCUCUACACUGUCAAGGAAUUUUUUUUAAUUAUAUUCUCGAGAUAAAAAUUUAGGACGAUUGUGUGUUUAAACUUUAUGAAUAAUAGUAUUUAUGGAAUGUAAAUUAUUUUUGAAGCCUAUGAAUUUAAAGACAAAUCUCUCGAUAUCUUUGAAUCUCACUCUCUCUAUGCUUAUAGAUUUCAAAGUUAGUGAAAUUAUUCUUAAAUGCACCAAAAGAAAAGUAUAGCGGUAGAGAAGAAUCGUUUGGUGAUAAGUAAAUAACCUUUUAUUUAGCCACGAAAAUGAAUUCAUCUAGUUUUUAUUACGAUUGCUAUUGAUUACGUCAGAUGAAGGUAAUGAAUGUGAAUUGAAGAAAAGUAAAACAUGGGAUUGCAACGAUAUUUUUCUUAAAAGUAUCGAAUAUUUGCCAUUGUCCUUGAAAUAUAUUUAUUCGAAAUGUUUUGCAACAGAAAUGUGUUUCGGAGAGGUUAUCGCGAAUUCCGAUCUUCCGGAUGUGAAACUUUUAAAAAUUUAUUAUUUUUUUCAUCUCAAUAUGAGAAAUUCUUCUCCUGUUAUAUAAAUCGUAUGCUUUUUGAAUUUAAUCUUUCAAUCUCACGUGUGAAAUAAUGAACUGUGAGAAUGGUGUGCUUGAAGAGGUGACAAUUAAGUUUGUUGAAAUGCAAAUAAGCUUUAAUCGAAUUAAAUUUGCUUUACAUUUUAUAAUAGAAUUUUAUAAUUGAAUUUAUCAAAUCAUGAUUAGAAUAAGAUACAGUCACGAUAGCUUUUGUUAACAUCUCUUUAUUCAAGAAUUAUUUCACCGCACCAAACUUUUGUCAACCGACAUUUUGCAGAAUUUUUCAAUGAUCUAUGUUUAUACUCGAUAUCAAAGCAUCACCUGCCGCAUUGUGAUCUGAAUGAAAAUAGAGAAAAAAAUCAGAGAAUAAAUAUAAUCAGAGAAUAAUAUAAGUUUUAUCUCAGAAUUGUAGAUUAAAAAAAGCAUUAAUAUGGAUGUAUUAAUUACAAAUCGUAUAACAUCAUAUAAAUUGAAAGUGUGAUAGGUAUCAAUUGCUGCUUGCUCGAAUUGUUUAAUUUUUCAAAUCAUGGAAGCAUAUCUUCACGAAGUCAUUCUACAGAACAAUUGUCACUUGAUGUCGUAGUCUCUCUCCCUCCCCUCCCCCUCCCCUCUUUCUUCCUACCAUUCCUCUCUUUCUUCCUACCAUUCCUCUCUUUCUUCCUACCAUUCCUCUCUUCUUCUUUCUUUCUCUCUUUCUCUCGUGUCGCAGGAUGAGAAAUAGGCACGUACACUGGAAGGAGAUGCUAAAGCGCAACUAACAGCAGUCUGAUCGACGAAUCGCUGGCAGCGCAGGAAGCGGUAGCAGCAGCGGUAGCAGCAACAACAGCCAGAACAGCCAAGUCGGCGCGUCACCAUCGU
rnacentral:misc_RNA from 1 species